rnacentral:rRNA from 1 species
UACGUAGGUGGCAAGCGUUGUCCGGAUUUACUGGGCGUAAAGGGCGCGUAGGCGGCCACCGCAAGUCGGUUGUGAAAUCUCCGGGCUUAACCCGGAAAGGUCAAUCGAUACUGCGGGGCUAGAGUGCAGAAGGGGCAACUGGAAUUCUCGGUGUAGCGGUGAAAUGCGUAGAUAUCAGGAGGAACACCGAUGGCGAAGGCAGCUCGCUGGGACGGUACUGACGCUGAGAAGCGAAAGCAUGGGGAGCGAACAGG